AAAUCCUUUGAUAUUCACCGGU
rnacentral:miRNA from 1 species